UAGGGGUAGGAAAGGGAGAUUAAGUAUUGGCUUCCGUUAACCUUCAGCAUGCAAGGGUCCUGCUAUUCUAAACCACUGUUAUUCCACUCUGAGAGUUGAGAAUGAACCUUGGGGAAGGGGGCACAAGGGAUUGUUCUCUGAGUGUGUGUGUUACCUGUCACUUCCUAAAUAAGGCAUGGUUUAUUUAUAUCGGCCAGUAGAAUGGAGUACAUGUAGGCUACAUAAGACAAGACAAAUCCCUCUCCAUUGUUCAGUGGCACUUUGGGAGUCCCAUUGUUCUGCUCAUCACACACCCAUCUCCUCUCUCCUCCAGCUCCAGCCAUGCAUAAAUCAACUCAGGGUAGAUCAACCCACCAGGCUUCAUGGAUCUACUCCUUUUCCACCUCCCGCCGAAGGAACCCAAAAAGGCAAAGAAGAAGUCCGCAGAGGGAGCCAACUCUAAUGUAUUUUCUAUCUUUGAGCAGUCUCAAAUCCAGGAGUUCAAGGAGUGUGACCGAGAUGCUGACGACACAGGCGGACAGAUUUUCUCCUGAAGAGAUGGAGCAAAUGUUUGCAGCCUUCCCACCAGACGUGGCAGGAAAUCUAGACUAUAAAAACCUUGUCCACAUCAUCACACAUGGAGAAGAGAAGGACCAGGAAUAACUACCUGCUCCUUUAGCGUGUCUGUCAGUGACAGAAAUAAAAGCUCUUGACUAGAGACUCUAGAGCUUCUAUUUCUAUCAUCAAAACACCCGUCGGUUGUCAUCUAUCAUCUCCAGGCUCCACCCACGGUCCUCCACCCACGGUCCUGCUUGCCCCGCCUACUUACAUCCUCAGAUCAGGUGAUGUGGACCACCCCGGUAUAAUUCACUGGCUCCUUUGUCUGUCAGUCACACUUCCCCUCCCAGGUCACCUAUACCAAGAGACCAUAGCUAGAGCCCCCACCACCUGCAGGCCCACAGUGGAAGAGGAGGGAAAGAACCAGAGGGAAACUCACUGGCCUUUACCUUCUACACUUUUAAACUGGCCACCUGUGAUGCAUCUGCUUGUGUUUUCCCGUCAUCGGCAGUGGUUAAGCAAACUACCAAGCCAGAUAUGUGUAAAUGGUCUGUCAGACAAAUGGUUGAAUCCAUAUUCAAUAGCUAUUUUACAAUCUGAUCACCUUUCAAUAAAUAACUUUUGUCGAGA